AUGGCCUUUCUUCUUCUGCUCAUGGCCGCGAGCCUCGCUGCCAGCGCGACGGCUGCCAUGGAGGCGGAGCCGGCGUGCUCGCCCUCCCUGUGCGGAGCCGUCCAAGUCCGGUAUCCGUUCUGGCUGGACGGCGGCGGCGGCGGCAACGUUUGCGGGUACCCGAGCCUCAGGCUCGAGUGCCGCGGCGGCACGCCCGUGCUCCGGCUGCCCUCAGGCGACUACAGGGUACACCGAAUCAGCUACGGCGACAACGGCGACGACGGCACAUUCACUCUGCACGAUUCCAUCGUCCACAACAGCAGAUGCCCGCUCGUCGUCGGAAGGAAUCUGACUUUGCCCGAGGGCUCGCCGCCGCCGUUCUCCCUCACCGGCAACGACAUGAACGUGACGUUCUACCUCAGAUGCCCCUUCAACGCAUCUCCUUCGCACAUGGUGGCUUGCCUGGAGGAGGCCGAUGGCGUGCACCAUACGUACGCAUUCAAGGACGGCGACUACCUUCUUCCGUACGAGUUCAACAGCCUCUGCCAGGACGUCGUGGGGAUGCCGGUGCUCAGGUCGUCGCUGGGGGGCAGCAGGUGGAUCCACCGCGUUUUCCGGGCUCUGCGGAGAGGCUUCGAACUGAGGUGGACGCGGGCGCUGGAAGGGAGGUGCAGAGACUGCGAGAACUCCGGUGGCCUCUGCGGCCACCUUGGCGACGCGCCGUACCAGUUCACAUGCUUUACGGCGCCUGCUGCCCCUGCCCCUGCCCCUGCACUGCCACUGAGCCUUUGA
rnacentral:rRNA from 1 species